GGGGCUGAUUCUGGAUUCGACGGGAUUUGCGAAACCCAAGGUGCAUGCCGAGGGGCGGUUUGCCUCGUAAAAAGCCGCAAAAAAAUAGUCGCAAACGACGAAAACUACGCUUUAGCAGCUUA
rnacentral:tmRNA from 1 species